rnacentral:sRNA from 1 species
CAAGAAUAUCUUGGGUAUUCCAAAACUGUUUAAAAAAUGUACAGCUCGGGCUGGACGCCUUUGGAAUAUGACCAAUACUUAAAUUCGCUGAUGCAGCAUCUCCCCCAAGUGCAACAUCGGUAAAGGCACCCAUGGAUAGCGUGUCUUUGUUUUACUCCUAAUGGUCUUAACCCGGAUUCCCCCCCCAGAACCCGG